UUUUUUAAAGAAGUUAUUUUAAAUAAUAUCUGCUCAAUGAAUUUAAAUAGCCGCAAAAAUGUGCUAAGGUAGCAUAAUCACUCGCCUUUUAAUUAAAGGAUAGAAUGAAAGAUCUAACAUUUCAAUAAAAGUUUUAAUAAUAAUAUAUAUAUAACUUUUAUUAAAUAUAAAAAUAUAUUUAUAUAUUAAAAAGACGACAAGACCCUAUCGAACUUUACUAAAGUUAAGUUGGGGAAACUAUUUAAUAAUAAUUUUAGAUUAAAAUUUUAUAAAAAACAUCUAAAUAAUUAAAACAAAUAAGUUACCGUAGGGAUAACAGCGCAAUAAUUUUUAAAAGCUCAUAUUUAAAAAAUAAAUUACGACCUCGAUGUUGAAUUAUAAUAUCUUAUAAAAGAAAAAUUUUAUAAAGUAAGUCUGUUCGACUUAUAAAAUUUUACA
rnacentral:rRNA from 1 species